GCCUCCUUAGCACAGCAGGCAACGCGUCAGUCUCGUAAUCUGAAAGUCUUGAGUUCAAACCCCAGAAGGGGUA
rnacentral:tRNA from 1 species